rnacentral:rRNA from 1 species
AACGAACGCUGGCGGCAGGCCUAACACAUGCAAGUCGAACGGGUGUAGCAAUACAUCAGUGGCAGACGGGUGAGUAACGCGUGGGAAUCUCCCCAGAGGUACGGAACAACUCAGGGAAACUUGAGCUAAUACCGUAUGUGCCCGAGAGGGCAAAGAUUCAUCGCCUUUGGAUGAGCCCGCGUUGGAUUAGCUAGUUGGUGGGUAACGCCUACCAAGGCUACGAUCCANAGCUGAUCUGAGAGGAUGAUCAGCCACACUGGGACUGAGACACGGCCCAGACUCCUACGGGAGGCAGCAGUGGGGAAUCUUGGACAAUGGGCGCAAGCCUGAUCCAGCCAUGCCGCGUGUGUGAAGAAGGCCUGCGGGUU